UAUUUUGUGCUCGGACUGAAUAAACGUACGGGGUGUCUGGGACCAGAUUCUCCACUAGGAGGGAGCGAUAAUGGCCGUUUGGGAUUCGAACAACGACAGGGGGCUGGCCGGGUGUUUCUUCUGUGAUGUCAUAAUAAGGUGUUUUGAACCCGAUGACCUCCGUCGAAACUUGUUGUCCGUCCUCCCCCAUCGCUGAUACAACUACCACGUACGCUGACUCAGGGGUCAAGUCGUCUAUCGCGAUCGAGUGGUCACUAGAGGGCAAGGUGUGACGGUGAGGCUCGGCGUUUGCUCCAACGCGGUUGUACGCCACCUAAUGGAAG